UGAUGGAGGAGGCUGCAAGGCAAGGAGAGAAGAAGGAGGAUGCUAGGGGGAGACAGAAAGAGAGGUGGACGAGGGUUUUCCAGACUAAUGCCGCCCUGUCCUUUAGAGGACGGGCAGCAAGGACUGGGAAAGAGCCUCCCAAACCUGCCUCUGCCUGCUUUGCUUAUUUGUGCCCAUCUCUGCCGUGCCCAUAAACCCUGUAUUUGCACAGGCUGGCAGAAUUGGUGGCAUAAAUGAGGACUUGACAGAGGUAAAUGUGAGGUACGUGUGCAAAUGGUCAGGCAGGCUCAAGGAGUGCGGGCGCAAACGUGGUGGAUUCUGCAGAUGUAGAGGCAAACCCUGUGGGUGCAAUUUAGGAGGAAAUUGGAAAAGUUGAUCCUAAAAUCAGGGACACUACAAGUAAGAAAGAGGCAUUGGUUAUAAUGCUGUAAUGAGCUGAGUACUGUGUAUGUAUCCUAGAAUCAUACAAUAUCAGGGUUGGAAGGGACCUCAGGAGGUCAUCUAGUCCAACCCCCUGCUCAAAGCAGGACCAAUCCCCAAUUAAAUCCUCUACUGACUAUAAUUAGAAUUGCUCAACUGUAUGCCAUAGGCUCUGUACUGCUAGCCAUUAAUGAAGAGUCUCCUUUAACUCAAGAAGUAGGACCUGUGCUUUUGGAGUGGGAGGAUCGUCUACGUCUUCACUAUCUUUAUGAAAUUCCAAGUGGCCAUGGUAUGGCAUGCAGUGACAUUGAUGUCCCAGAUGGCCUUGGAUUUGUUACAGUACUUAUCUAUGAAGAUCAAGAUUUUGAGAGACACAGUUUUUAAGUGAAACAACGGACAACUUGACAUCGUAAUGUUGACUCAUUUUGUAUUUCAGUAUGUCACUAGCCAUCACACUCCUCAUGUCAACAAACCAAUGGGCAGAAAAAGUCACGCAAUAUAGACUUUCUAAUUCCUCUCACUCUUUUAAUGGAACUACGUACAAAUCAAUUGUGUGGAAGUUGUGAGCUGUUUUGGAAUUCACCUUCCAGAACAAGUUCAUUGUCUGAACUUCAGAAUUUGGAUGACCCCUACCCUCAUAGCAUAUUCUCUGGUGUGCUGCCUCCCUGUUGAGUUCACAACCCUCCCAUUGACUUCAUAGGUGCCAGAAGUAUAUGACCUUGUGGACAGCUUUUGGGAUGGCAGUCAUAGCUAGCUUGGAUAGACAACCAGCCUAAAAAUAAGAUGUGACUGAAUCAGAUCCAAGCAAUGCUGUGUUUUAGAGAUCACCUUUACUUAAACAGCAAAUGCAACAUUUUCACUCUGUGAGAACAAACAGUUGUAUUGCUGUGGAGACCAUGCAUGCACAGCACAGGCAAAGGGUGACAUCCUGGCCCAAUGGGAGUUUCCCCAUUGACUUCAACAGAGUGAGGAUUUCACCCAAAAUCUUUGAAUUUACUGGAAAAAAAUUUUGAGAUCAUGUUUUUAUUUUCCUAUGUGCCUAUUAUAAAUAAAGCUUCAGCUCCUUGUAGCUGAAAGUGACUAACAAAAUGUUUGGCGAUUUUAGUAGAGGAGAAUUUAAAUUUGUUAUACUGCCAUCAAAUCCUUUAUUUUGUCUGUAUAAUUUAUUUAUGCUAAAGGAUUGACUCCCUGAAGUAGCAGAGUAACAUGUUAUCAAGGAGAGUUUGCUAUGAGAUUAAACCUUCCUGUUUAUAAAUCCUUUAUAGCUAUGAAUGAAUAGACAUACAGGGAAGUGGAAUAAAAAGACAGGUACAUUAUUGUUUUUAAUACUCAAAACUCAGGUAGGUAAGCAAUAGGAGUUGCAUAAAA